AGUAAAAGUUCUGUGGAGCAACCGUUCAGAAAGGGAGGCAACGUGGGAAAUGGAGGGAGACAUGAAAGAACAGUACCCCGAACUUUUUGAUAAGUAAGCCUGUAAGCUUUCGGUGACAAGUUGAGUCUGGGCAGCAUGGGGUGUAUCUCGUGUGAUCAUGUAACUGCGUGUGGUCUUGGCCAUCUUCCGCUGAAAGUUUUUUUUUAAAUUUAUUAAACUUAUCGAGGAUGUUGUCGUUUAAAUUUUCUAUUACUUUUCCCUAAGUGGUAAUACUUUAUUUUCAACUGGGUACCCAUGUUUUGAAAAGUGUUUUUUUUUUUU